AGAAUUCCUGUUCUAGGCAGCACUCACUAGCUGGAGUAAGUCCUCCCAUAACAUGUAAGAAUAAUUAGCAUGGAGAGAUUGAGCCAUAUACCCUUGGACCACUUGGGAAGGCCACAUCCAGCGGUGCUCAGGGAUCACUCCUGGUGGUGCUCAGCAUAUGUGGUGCCAGGGAUCGAAAUGAAGUCAGCCGCGUGCAAGGCAAGCAUCCUACUAACUGUGCUGUUUCUCUGGCCUCUGUUUUUAUAUUUUAAUCUUUUUUUUUUUUUGGCCUAGAAUGAAACUUUAUUUAAACGUGGUGAUUCAUGAAAUUGUUCACAAUACAGUUGUUUCGGGUAUUCAGUAUUCCAACACCAGUCCUACCAGCAAUGUGUCUUUUUCCACCAACAUCCCCAGUUUCCUACCCACUCCCCAAGCAGGCACAAAAUAAUUUACUUUAUAUUGCUUGUUAUAAAUAUCGUAAUGGAGUUGCUAAAGUCAUGUUCUGAGGAUUUACUGAGAUGUUAGGUGCAAGUUGAGCUUUCUGUGUUAUUGUUUUCACUCUUGAGUUUAGUGGGCUUCUCAGUUUCUCCAUAUAAUUUUCUGUGCUUUUACUGAGCUGUCAGCUCUGUGAAAUUUGGAGGUGUUGCAUGACUACAUAUGCGGUUGCACGCUUCAGGGGCUGUGGAGCUGGGACGAUCAGUUGCAGGUGUCUUUCUGGCAUCUCUCCGAGAUCAGUCCUGAACGUAGGAUUGUUUCUUUUUUUUUUUUUUUUUUUUGCUUUUUGGGUCACACCUGGCAAUGCACAGGGGUCAUUCCUGGCUCAUGCACUCAGGAAUUACCCCUGGCGGUGCUCAGGGGACCAUUUGGGAUGCUGGGAUUCGAACCCAGGUCGGCCGUGUGCAAGGCAAACGCCCUACCUGCUGUGCUAUCACUCCAGCCCAAGGAUUGUUUCUUUGGCAGCGGUGGGAACUGGAUGUGGGUGGAGUGCUGGACGUUUGGUAGGGCAGGAACUUGGUCUGCCCCCAUCCUGCUAAGGCUCUGAAGAUCUGGGCCUGGUGGCGGCAGUGCUCACCUAGAAUAACUGAGCUGCUGGCGUUUUUCCGAGAUCAGUCCUGUAGCUGUUACUGCUCUUUCCUUCUGUAGAAUUUCUGGUAUAAAAACUACUACUACAGAUUGCUUAUUAAAGGUAUUUUUAAAAUAAGGAAUUGUGGAUUAAAGCAAUAGAACUGACACCUUAUUCUAUCUGGUAGUUGAUGUGUCGAUUUAAAAGCAAUACUCUUGGCCGGAAAGAUAGUUCAAAGAGCCUAAGAGAAUGCUUUGCAAUGGGGAGGCCUGGGUUGAUUUCAGUCAUAGCAUGGUCCCUUGACCACUUACCAAGAGCACCCCCUAUCACUGAGUCAGGAGUAGUUCUAAGCACUGCUAAGAAAAAAAGCACUCCUACCAUACUACCACACUUUGUAUUGUUUUUUUAUUUGUUUGUUUGUUUUUGAAUCACACCUAACAAUGCUCAGGGCUUACUCCAGGCUCUGCAUUCAGGAAUCACUCCUGGUGGACUCUGGGUACCAUAUGUGGUACUUGGGAUUGAGCCCAUUCAGCUGUGUGCAAGGCAAGCCCCUAACUAUCUCUCUGGCCCUACUUUGUAUUCUGAACUGAAGGGAGUUAUCAGAUGAAUUAAAAAAACCAAGGCUAUACUGUAAAUAAAAUUACCUAUUGCACUUCAGUAAUGUCAAUGUCAGAUUCCCUGGCACCACCAGGAGUCACUUCUAAGCAGAGCAAUGAAUAGGCCCUGAACACGGCAAGGUGUUCCCCAAAAUAAAAUAUUUAAAAAAAUAUCUGACAACUGAAUGCCAUGUGGUAUUUUUGUUGUGGUACCAGGGAUAGUGCCUGGUGUACUUUUUACACUUUUGGUGGGUGUUGGGGGUGUGACACUUUUUUGUGAUGGUGUCUUGGGGUGGCAUUAGGUAUUGUUGGGUGGUGCUAGGUAGUACCAAUGUUAAACUCAGUCUCAUACAUGUUAGGCAAACUACCGCUGAGCUGUAUACUUCAAGGCCCAUAUGUGAUUUUGUUGGAUAAAAGUUGCUGUGACAAAUUGUUAAUUAAAUCUAAGUGAAAGAUAUA